UUUCUUUCUUCUUCUCCCUAUACGUUGGUGUUCUAACCAAUAAUCACUCAAUCGCUAUUACGAUUCAUUUUCCGACCGAUCAAUAUAUCCAAUGGAUGUUUAAGUGCCGCCCAUAUUAGGGUUAUACUUUGUCGUUCGUCGUUAAUUCGAUGAAUGUUUAAGUAUCGCACUUUGUCGUUCGUUGUGAGAAUUUGAUCUCGUGAGUUAUCGUAAAAGCUGUAUUGAUCAUUAACCCGGUUUUUGUGAAAUUCGUUAAGGUUCGAAUCUCAUGACUACCGUUAAGGUUUGAUUUGGGUUUUACACCAAUACGUAUUCCAUUAUGUUAAACUAUGUAUUUAACUACCUAAAAUACUCCCAACUACACCCUUACAAUCAAACAAACUAUUAAAUCAUCAGAAGAUCCAGAAUAAUAAAGGGCAUGCUUAAUUAUCGGAAGAAAUAGAAUCAAGAAGUUUGUUAACUCAAUCCUGCAUGCUGAUUUGUAAUUACAGUAGAUUGGAGUAAGGAUUGGAUCCGGCACUAAAAGACUUCAAGAAGUAGCUUAUUUUAUUAAGUAAAUCAAAUUAAGAAAUAUUAUUUUUAUUAAAAGCUACCUUUGUAAAACAUGGAAUUUAUUCCAUCUAUUUAAAUAAAAUCCGGUGUUUGUAAACUCUGAUAUUUUCCUAACUCACGGUCCUGAUGAAAUUUCCGCUGCAAUGUUUUUUUUUUAAAUAAUCACCGGUACCACUGGACUGCUCGCGGCUUCCGAUUCCGGCUAGGAUGGGGUCGGGGGUCGUGACAGAUGAUGAAUCUACUUUUUAUACCUUAGUUUUCUUAUUUUUGUACUGUUCUCUGUCUUUAUUUAUAAAGAUGGAACUUUUAUUACCAUGUAACUUUAAAUGCUAGUUUGUUAAUUAGUUUUGUUUUUUUUUUCAUGGCAAAGGUUACAUUACUCCUACUUCUAAACUACACCAAUAAAUACUAAAUUACACCCCAUGCCAGGAUUUGAGCCCUGGUCUUUUCUUCAAGAGGCAAGAGCCUUUACCACCCAACUAUCGCUGGAAUGGCUGUUAAUUUUGGACAAGCGUUUUGGGUGAACCCACCCAAAAGUGUUAAGCACCACUGCCCAACUCACCUCUUAUUUACAUAGUUAUGUAAUUAGAAGUCAACUAUAAGCUAAAAUUGUUGUUUGCAGCCAAUGUUCAUGAUGGAUAAGGUUUAUUACCUAUGUAGACAUCACAUUCUAUUUGUACUUAAUUAAUUUUCGUGUUCUUUUUAGA
rnacentral:lncRNA from 1 species